AUUGAACGCUGGCGGCAGGCCUAACACAUGCAAGUCGAACGGUAGCACAGAGAGCUUGCUCUCGGGUGACGAGUGGCGGACGGGUGAGUAACGUCUGGGAAACUGCCCGAUGGAGGGGGAUAACUACUGGAAACGGUAGCUAAUACCGCAUAACGUCGCAAGACCAAAGUGGGGGACCUUCGGGCCUCACACCAUCGGAUGUGCCCAGAUGGGAUUAGCUAGUAGGUGGGGUAAUGGCUCACCUAGGCGACGAUCCCUAGCUGGUCUGAGAGGAUGACCAGCCACACUGGAACUGAGACACGGUCCAGACUCCUACGGGAGGCAGCAGUGGGGAAUAUUGCACAAUGGGCGCAAGCCUGAUGCAGCCAUGCCGCGUGUAUGAAGAAGGCCUUCGGGUUGUAAAGUACUUUCAGCGGGGAGGAAGGCGGUGGAGUUAAUAACUUCACCGAUUGACGUUACCCGCAGAAGAAGCACCGGCUAACUCCGUGCCAGCAGCCGCCGCAG
rnacentral:rRNA from 1 species